rnacentral:rRNA from 1 species
AUUGAACGCUGGCGGCAGGCUUAACACAUGCAAGUCGAACGAGUGGCGGACGGGUGAGUAAUGCCUGGGAAUCUCGCUUAUGGAGGGGGAUAACUACGGGAAACUGUAGCUAAUACCGCGUACCAUCGGAUGAGCCCAAGUGGGAUUAGUUAGUUGGUGGGGUAACGGCUCACCAAGCCGACGAUCUCUAGCUGGUCUGAGAGGAUGACCAGCCACACGGGAACAGAGACACGGCCCAGACGACUACGGGAGGAAGCAGUGGGGAAUAUUGCGCAAUGGGGGCAAGCUGACGCAGAAAUGCCGCGUGAAUGAAGAAGGCCUUCGGGUUGUAAAGUUCUUUCGGUAGCGAGGCGUUAACUACAGAAGAAGCACCGGCUAACUCCGUGCCAGCAGCCGCGGUAAUAC